AGUCGAUAGAGUUUGAUCCUGGCUCAGAGCGAACGUUAGCGGCGGGCCUAACACAUGCAAGUCGAGCGAGAAAGGGGCUUCGGCCCCGAGUACAGCGGCGGACGGGUGAGUAAUACGUAGGUAACCUGCCUUUCAGUGGGGGACAACGGUCCGAAAGGACCGCUAAUACCGCAUCCGUUUCCCGGGUCCCCGGACCUGGGAAGGAAAGCUGCCCGCAAGGGUGGCGCUGGAAGAGGGGCCUACGUCGCAUCAGCUAGUUGGUGGGGUAAUGGCCUACCAAGGCGAAGACGCGUAGCUGGUCUGAGAGGAUGAUCAGCCACACUGGGACUGAGACACGGCCCAGACUCCUACGGGAGGCAGCAGUGGGGAAUAUUGGACAAUGGGGGCAACCCUGAUCCAGCCACGCCGCGUGAGUGAUGAAGGCCUUCGGGUCGUAAAGCUCUGUGGGGAGAGACGAACGUCCGGCAUGACCUGUCGGGGUGACGGUAUCUCCUUAGCAAGCACCGGCUAACUUCGUGCCAGCAGCCGCGGUAA
rnacentral:rRNA from 1 species